rnacentral:rRNA from 1 species
AACGAACGCUGGCGGCAGGCUUAACACAUGCAAGUCGAACGGGUGCAGCGAUGCAUCAGUGGCAGACGGGUGAGUAACACGUGGGAACCUUCCUAGGGGUACGGAACAACUCAGGGAAACUUGAGCUAAUACCGUAUGUGUCCGAGAGGAGAAAGAUUUAUCGCCCUUAGACGGGCCCGCGUCGGAUUAGCUAGUUGGUGGGGUAACGGCCUACCAAGGCGACGAUCCGUAGCUGAUCUUAGAGGAUGAUCAGCCACACUGGGACUGAGACACGGCCCAGACUCCUACGGGAGGCAGCAGUGGGGAAUCUUGGACAAUGGGCGCAAGCCUGAUCCAGCCAUGCCGCGUGAGUGAAGAAGGUCUUCGGAUUGUAAAGCUCUUUUGCCAGGGACGAUAAUGACGGUACCUGGAGAAUAAGCCCCGGCAAACUUCGUGCCAGCCGCCGCAGUAA